UACGAAGGGGGCUAGCGUUGUUCGGAAUCACUGGGCGUAAAGCGCACGUAGGCGGAUCUUUAAGUCAGAGGUGAAAUCCCAAGGCUCAACCUUGGAACUGCCUUUGAUACUGGGGAUCUUGAGUCCGGGAGAGGUGAGUGGAACUGCGAGUGUAGAGGUGAAAUUCGUAGAUAUUCGGAAGAACACCAGUGGCGAAGGCGACUUACUGGACACAUAUUGACGCUGAGGUGCGAAAGCGUGGGGAGCAAACAGG
rnacentral:rRNA from 1 species